rfam:Saccharomyces paradoxus NRRL Y-17217 contig_356, whole genome shotgun sequence.
GAACGUUUGACAACACUCUGGGACCAAGUUUCGAUGAUAAUAUUUCUUAUUUCCAUCGAUACCAUUCACUGUACUUAGUUCCAAUUUAUAUUGCAAACAAGAUUGAUUUUAGGCGAUUACUCACUAAGAUAUACCUAUUUCUACUAUGGUUAUAUUAGUCCAUUUCAUAGCCUUACAU